rnacentral:rRNA from 1 species
GAUGAACGCUGGCGGCGUGCCUAAUACAUGCAAGUCGAGCGAACGGACGAGAAGCUUGCUUCUCUGAUGUUAGCGGCGGACGGGUGAGUAACACGUGGAUAACCUACCUAUAAGACUGGGAUAACUCGGGAAACCGUAGCUAAUACCGGAUAAUAUUUUGAACCGCAUGGUUCAAAAGUGAAAGACGGUCUUGCUGUCACUUAUAGAUGGAUCCGCGCUGCAUUAGCUAGUUGGUAAGGUAACGGCUUACCAAGGCAACGAUGCAUAGCCGACCUGAGAGGGUGAUCGGCCACACUGGAACUGAGACACGGUCCAGACUCCUACGGGAGGCAGCAGUAGGGAAUCUUCCGCAAUGGGCGAAAGCCUGACGGAGCAACGCCGCGUGAGUGAUGAAGGUCUUCGGAUCGUAAAACUCUGUUAUUAGGGAAGAACAUAUGUGUAAGUAACUGUGCACAUCUUGACGGUACCUAAUCAGAAAGCCACGGCUAACUACGUGCCAGCAGCCGCGGUAAUACGUAGGUGGCAAGCGUUAUCCGGAAUUAUUGGGCGUAAAGCGCGCGUAGGCGGUUUUUUAAGUCUGAUGUGAAAGCCCACGGCUCAACCGUGGAGGGUCAUUGGAAACUGGAAAACUUGAGUGCAGAAGAGGAAAGUGGAAUUCCAUGUGUAGCGGUGAAAUGCGCAGAGAUAUGGAGGAACACCAGUGGCGAAGGCGACUUUCUGGUCUGUAACUGACGCUGAUGUGCGAAAGCGUGGGGAUCAAACAGGAUUAGAUACCCUGGUAGUCCACGCCGUAAACGAUGAGUGCUAAGUGUUAGGGGGUUUCCGCCCCUUAGUGCUGCAGCUAACGCAUUAAGCACUCCGCCUGGGGAGUACGACCGCAAGGUUGAAACUCAAAGGAAUUGACGGGGACCCGCACAAGCGGUGGAGCAUGUGGUUUAAUUCGAAGCAACGCGAAGAACCUUACCAAAUCUUGACAUCCUUUGACAACUCUAGAGAUAGAGCCUUCCCCUUCGGGGGACAAAGUGACAGGUGGUGCAUGGUUGUCGUCAGCUCGUGUCGUGAGAUGUUGGGUUAAGUCCCGCAACGAGCGCAACCCUUAAGCUUAGUUGCCAUCAUUAAGUUGGGCACUCUAAGUUGACUGCCGGUGACAAACCGGAGGAAGGUGGGGAUGACGUCAAAUCAUCAUGCCCCUUAUGAUUUGGGCUACACACGUGCUACAAUGGACAAUACAAAGGGCAGCGAAACCGCGAGGUCAAGCAAAUCCCAUAAAGUUGUUCUCAGUUCGGAUUGUAGUCUGCAACUCGACUACAUGAAGCUGGAAUCGCUAGUAAUCGUAGAUCAGCAUGCUACGGUGAAUACGUUCCCGGGUCU